AUUGAACGCUGGCGGCAGGCCUAACACAUGCAAGUCGAGCGGUAGAGAGGUGCUUGCAUCUCUUGAGAGCGGCGGACGGGUGAGUAAUGCCUAGGAAUCUGCCUAGUGGUGGGGGAUAACGUUCGGAAACGGACGCUAAUACCGCAUACGUCCUACGGGAGAAAGCGGGGGAUCUUCGGACCUCGCGCCAUUAGAUGAGCCUAGGUCGGAUUAGCUAGUUGGUGAGGUAAUGGCUCACCAAGGCGACGAUCCGUAACUGGUCUGAGAGGAUGAUCAGUCACACUGGAACUGAGACACGGUCCAGACUCCUACGGGAGGCAGCAGUGGGGAAUAUUGGACAAUGGGCGAAAGACCUGAUCCAGCCAUGCCGCGUGUGUGAAGAAGGUCUUCGGAUUGUAAAGCACUUUAAGUUGGGUAGGAAGGGUA
rnacentral:rRNA from 1 species